rnacentral:siRNA from 1 species
UGAUCAACUAACCUUGCCAAUGUG